rnacentral:ncRNA from 20 species
AGGUGUCUUCAGGGCAGGGUGUAAUUCCCGACCGGCGGUAAUCGCUUCCAACUUAUUUGUCAGUUGUGAAGCAUCAGUCCGCGAGCGAAAGCUGAUGUGGUGAGAUUCCACAACCGACAGUAAAGUCUGGAUGGGAGAAGACAAAG